GGCACUACGGUGCUGAAGCAACAAAUGCCCUGCUUCCAGGAAAAGCCUCUAAGCAUCAGGUAACAUCAAAUCGUACCCCAAACCGACACAGGUGGUCAGGUAGAGAAUACCAAGGCGCUUGAGAGAACUCGGGUGAAGGAACUAGGCAAAAUGGUGCCGUAACUUCGGGAGAAGGCACGCUGAUAUGUAGGUGAAGUCCCUCGCGGAUGGAGCUGAAAUCAGUCGAAGAUACCAGCUGGCUGCAACUGUUUAUUAAAAACACAGCACUGUGCAAACACGAAAGUGGACGUAUACGGUGUGACGCCUGCCCGGUGC
rnacentral:rRNA from 2 species